CUAUCUGUUCAUGGGAUGAGAUGGAGGGUUGGGGAGCAGGGUCCGAAGGGUCUCUGAUAUUUGGAAUUAUAGUGCCAGGAAAGCAAACAAGAGCCCCUGAAAAGAAACAAGCAGAAGGUUGGUGAUUGCACAACAAGGGGUCUCCAGAGAUGUCGUCAGACAGAUGGAGAAGGCUGGCGGGAGAGGAAGUGCAGAUGAGGAAACUGAGGCCCAGAGAGGAUUAAGUCACAUAGCAGCAGUGCUUCUCAGCCGUGAUGACUCUUGGCUACAAGUGACCAGAGAUGCUUCUAAACAUCGAACAAUGCACAGGACGGCAUCCCAGCAAGGAAUCAUCAGCCCCAAAGUCAACAGUGCAGUGUGGGAGGAACCCAGCUUUGAACACACCUCCUCCUGGAAGCCCUCUGGAUUUGACACACCUCCUGCCCUUCCUCCCCAACCCCACACCCUUUCCUUCUCCCCCUCGUAACCCCAGGAGAGGUUAAACAGGUAGAGGAGCCCAGGGCUGCGUCGGGAUGGAGUUAGGGUCAGGGUUGCCUGGCUCCAUCCCGUUGGGACACGGAGCCAGGUCCUGUCCCCAGUAUGGAGGUUCCAUGAUUAGAGCCUGGGACAUGCCUUAGACCUGUGCCAAGCAAAGGUUAGAGCUGGGAUCAGAGCAUCGUGGGGUGAGGGGAUUGAGAUGUAGCUGAGCUGGAGCUGGUCGGGGGGGCAGCGGGGGCUGCUGGGAUGAGAACUCCGCUGGGGAUGGUUUAGGGUCGUCAUUGCUGGAUACCCCAAAUUCCUUCCAUUUGAGUCCUGAUCUAGGUCAAACGAGGUGAGAGACGCCGCUCCCCCAACGCGCAGAGGAUCCCAAAUCUGAAAGAAGAACCAACACCCACAGAUCUGGGGCCCACAUCCGCACAGCUUUCUGUUUUUUGCCUGAAGUGACCAGGAGGUGUGUUGACACCGCAGAGGGGACGCAGGAAUUUGAAGCUUUGGUGAUCAAUGCUGCUUUAUGUGAAGCACAGAGAGGUUAAGUAACUUGCCAAAGGUCACACAGCACUUCAAUGGCAGAGCCAGGAAUUUGAACCCAGGUAGUGUGUGUCAGGCAUCUGCAGCCCUGGCCACUAUGCCACCUAGCCUUCUAUUUACUAAGACCCCUUGGCACUUUGCCCACCCUCCUUAUCCUCUCCAAAAUGCGUUCCCUGAUCCUUUACCCCCUCCUCACUCUCAACUGGGAACUGUAAAUCCCCACUCCUGGGUGGGCCACCUCCCAUGUCCAGGGCAGAAGGGAGCCAUGGACGGUUGUAGGCAGAGAGAAGACAUGGGCAGGUGGUUGCCGUUCAGGGAAGAAACAGAGAAGGGCUUUCUUCUCUCACUCCAGAAGAUGCCCACCUGUGCCCCUACAACUCAUCUCGCAACCGGGGGGGGGGGCAGCUGGGCUGGCCAUCCACUGGGGCUGAACGUCCCCGCCGUGUCAGGGAGGGGCCUGGCUGGAAUGUCCCCGGGACCCUGCCCUCCAGAACAGCUGGGACCAUGCUGCCUUGUCUGUCACCCUGGACCCAGUGGCCCUUGGUGCAUGCCUGUUGAGUGACCCUGGUGGUCUGAGGCUGUUCAUUUUGAGCCCCAAAUGUCCCCUCCACCUUGAUCUGGCCGAGAAUUAAGAUGGUAAAGAAAGGAGGGAGACCCCGGGCGUGCGGCUCAUGCCUGUAAUCCCAGCACUUUGGGAGGCUGAGGCGAGUGGCUCACCGGAGACCAGGAGUUCGAGACCAGCCUGAACAACUUGGCAA